GAGGCAGAUAACAGUUGUUUGUUGUUGUUUUUACCGACAGAAAAACAAAAAUUAAAAAACCCCAACUCAAGACACAAAAAGCUAGUCCUUCCCUCAGGGAUUCCCAGGAGAAUGAAAUGUUCUUGAAACUAGGAGUAUUGAUUUGUUUUUUGGAUUCUACAAUACCUAAUGUGAUGUCUUGCAUAUGGCUUGGAGAAUGGUUUUAUCCAAUGGAGUUUACCUCUGGAGUGGUUCCAUGCUGACUGUCUUCCAGUAUUUGAGGAAAAGAAGAAGAGGAUAGUGGGAAAAGAUGUGGAUUUGGCAUCCACAAACCUAUAUUGAAAAGCCAUAUCUGAUACUGACAAUCCAUGAGACCCUGGGGGUAAAGCAGAACCAGUUUAAUUCCUCUUCUAUGUCACAUCAUAUUUAUUAUUAGAAGGCAUGUACCACCAUCAACAUCACCACCCCCUCCCUGGCCACAAUCACACCUGAGUCUUCUUUUCUCCAGGCUAAACAUCAGUCUCUUCUCUCAAGUCUCUUAAGGUAUCAUGUCAAAGAAGAUCCCUCACGCUCCUUCUUACCAUCUUUUGGACAGCCUUUAGUUUAGCAGAGUAUACUUAAAAUGUGGUACCUAGAAGUGAAUCUGAUACACCAUAGUGUAACCAUAGAAAAGUAUAUUGGGAUUAUAACCUCCUUAGUCCUGAACAAUGAUGACUUUAUUAAUACAGACUGACUUUGCAUUAGCUUCUCUGGCUGCAAAAUCAAAAUGUUGACUCAUUCAGCUUACAAUCCACUAAAAUUCUCAUAUCUUGAGGUUUGUGAGAGUUUCAAAAAACUUGCAUAGCGCUUAUGAUAGGUGUUUGGGGGAUGAUAGUAAAUGCAAAGCAGUGUUUAUGCUUAUCCUCAGUCUCAAAAAAGAUUCAUUAUUGUGUAGUUUGUAAAAAGGAUUGGGCCAUGUAUAUUGGAUUAUAUAGAAGGAAUAGCCACAGUCUAUACUCUUGGGUGAGCAAGAAAGAAAUUUACUUGUUUCGACCCAGGUAAGAAGGAUGACCGGUAUCUUUUAUCCUUUGAGAGCAGUUAGUAUCAAGGUUGUACUCUCCCUUCCCCAGCACAUAGCAACUUUUGUUGUUCUAAUACAAUAAGACAACAAAAUUUUUGUACAAAUAACUGUGAGAUCUUCAAAAUGAUUUAGCAAUUUACACUAAUACCCUGAAGAUUUGUCACCCCAACCCCACUUUUUGGGUUAGAAAAUACUAGAUUCUAGGUUAAAAAUUCAGGAUAGUAUAGCAGCGCCUGCCUCCUUUGCCUAGAGUGAAUGUGUACAUGAUUAAAAAAAUCUCAACUUUGAAAAAGUGUAAGCACAUUCUUGGUGGAGACCUGAGGGACUCUUUUGGAACAUCAGCCUGAUGUGGUAUAGGAAUCACUAAAAAAAAAAAGAAAGAAAAAAAGUUGAAAAUGUGUUGAUGAGUCCUGAAGCAUGUUGUCCUGGAGUAGUUUCACAAAAGAAUGACACAAUCCUUGGAGGAAGAACAAAACCACUACAGCAGCAGAGAAGAGCUUUAGAAGAAAGUAGAAACAAGAGAAUGAGACUAUAACUUCUGCUCCUCUGAAAAGUGACAAAUAGCAGACCUAAGGUAAUGCUACUUGACAGAAAUGGAGGUAAUAAUUGCAUCAGUUACACUACUGUAGUAGUGCCAGGGGGAGUUCCAGAACUACACCAAAGAUCUAUGAAGGUCAGAGCUAAGAAACCACAGGGGAGUGUAAGUUGUCAGUGUUUGAACUGAAGCACAACCUUUCCCCCAUUAGCUUGUCACUUUGUAGGAAAAUGCAUACCUUUAUGUGGUGAGGAUAUUUUGAGACUGAAUCUAUUGCUUGAUUUUCUCUGUUAUUUACCUUCUUAUU